rnacentral:rRNA from 1 species
UACUGCUAUCGGUGUUCGACUAAGCCAUGCAAGUCAUAUGUUCCUCGUGAACAUGGCAUACUGCUCAGUAACACGUGGAUAACCUGCCCUUGGGUCUGGGAUAACCCCGGGAGACUGGGGAUAAUAUCGGAUAACGCAUAUGUGCUGGAAUGCUUUAUGCGUAAAACGGAUUCGUCCGCCCAAGGAUGGGUCUGCGGCCUAUCAGGUAGUAGUGGGUGUAAUGUACCUACUAGCCAACAACGGGUACGGGUUGUGAGAGCAAGAGCCCGGAGAUGGAUUCUGAGACAUGAAUCCAGGCCCUACGGGGCGCAGCAGGCGCGAAAACUUUACAAUGCGGGAAACCGUGAUAAGGGAACACCGAGUGCCAGCAUCAUAUGCUGGCUGUCCAGAUGUGUAAACUACAUCUGUUAGCAAGGGCCGGGCAAGACCGGUGCCAGCCGCCGCGGUAACACCGGCGGCCCGAGUGGUGACCGUUAUUAUUGGGUCUAAAGGGUCCGUAGCCGGUUUGGUCAGUCCUCCGGGAAAUCUGAUAGCUUAACUGUUAGGCUUUCGGGGGAUACUGCCAGGCUUGGAACCGGGAGAGGUAAGAGGUACUACAGGGGUAGGAGUGAAAUCUUGUAAUCCCUGUGAGACCACCUGUGGCGAAGGCGUCUUACCAGAACGGGUUCGACGGUGAGGGACGAAAGCUGGGGGCACGAACCGGAUUAGAUACCCGGGUAGUCCCAGCCGUAAACUAUGCUCGCUAGGUGUCAGGCAUGGCGCGACCGUGUCUGGUGCCGCAGGGAAGCCGUGAAGCGAGCCACCUGGGAAGUACGGCCGCAAGGCUGAAACUUAAAGGAAUUGGCGGGGGAGCACAACAACGGGUGGAGCCUGCGGUUUAAUUGGACUCAACGCCGGACAACUCACCGGGGACGACAGCAAUAUGUAGGCCAGGCUGAAGACCUUGCCUGAAUCGCUGAGAGGAGGUGCAUGGCCGUCGCCAGUUCGUACUGUGAAGCAUCCUGUUAAGUCAGG